rnacentral:lncRNA from 1 species
UCAGUGAACAUAUGCCGGAAAUAUAACAUUUUAUAUCAUUUAUUGUACUGCCAACAGUAACACACAGGGUUUUACUUGAAGGACCUGUGCUUACUAAACAUUUUCUUUCAUUUCAUAAAGUUGGAUGGCCAUCCCAUUUUCGGUCUAUAUGAUCCAUAUCUGUUCCUUUUACACGCCGGGAAGGAGGCCUCCUUCCACGGACGCUAAGACCGGUCGCAAG